rnacentral:rRNA from 1 species
GAUGAACGCUGGCGGCGUGCUUAACACAUGCAAGUCGAACGAAACACCUUAUUUGAUUUUCUUCGGAACUGAAGAUUUGGUGAUUGAGUGGCGGACGGGUGAGUAACGCGUGGGUAACCUGCCCUGUACAGGGGGAUAACAGUCAGAAAUGACUGCUAAUACCGCAUAAGACCACAGCACCGCAUGGUGCAGGGGUAAAAACUCCGGUGGUACAGGAUGGACCCGCGUCUGAUUAGCUGGUUGGUGAGGUAACGGCUCACCAAGGCGACGAUCAGUAGCCGGCUUGAGAGAGUGAACGGCCACAUUGGGACUGAGACACGGCCCAAACUCCUACGGGAGGCAGCAGUGGGGAAUAUUGCACAAUGGGGGAAACCCUGAUGCAGCGACGCCGCGUGAGUGAAGAAGUAUUUCGGUAUGUAAAGCUCUAUCAGCAGGGAAGAAAAUGACGGUACCUGACUAAGAAGCCCCGGCUAACUACGUGCCAGCCGCCGCGGUAA